rnacentral:rRNA from 1 species
GCUAGUUGGAGAGGUAACGGCUCACCAAGGCGACGAUGCGUAGCCGACCUGAGAGGGUGAACGGCCACAUUGGAACUGAGAAACGGUCCAGACUCCUACGGGAGGCAGCAGUGGGGAAUAUUGCACAAUGGAGGAAACUCUGAUGCAGCAACGCCGCGUGAGUGAAGAAGGUCUUCGGAUUGCAAAGCUCUGUUAAUCGGGACGAAAUAUGACGGUACCGAUAGAGGAAGCCACGGCUAACUACGUGCCAGCAGCCGCGGUAAUACGUAGGUGGCGAGCGUUGUCCGGAAUUACUGGGCGUAAAGGAUGCGUAGGUGGAUAAUUAAGUCAGAUGUGAAAAUCCCGGGCUCAACUUGGGAACUGCAUUUGAAACUGAAUAUCUAGAGUGCAGGAGAGGAAAGCGGAAUUCCUAGUGUAGCGGUGAAAUGCGUAGAUAUUAGGAAGAACACCAGUGGCGAAGGCGGCUUUCUGGACUGUAACUGACACUGAGGCAUGAAAGCGUGGGGAGCAAACAGGAUUAGAUACCCUGGUAGUCCACGCUGUAAACGAUGGGUACUAGGUGUGGGAGGUAUCGACUCCUUCCGUGCCGCAGUUAACACAAUA